rnacentral:rRNA from 1 species
AGGGUUUGAUCCUGGCUCAGAAUGAACGUUGGCGGCGUGGAUUAGGCAUGCAAGUCGAGCGGCAAGGUUUUUUAUCUUCGGAUUUUGAACCCUAGAGCGGCGAAAGGGAUAGGAACGUAUAGAUACAUGCCUCUUAGCUCAGGAUAGCGUCUGGAAACGGGCGAUAAUACUGAAUGAGGUCUCCGGACCAAAGGUGUGAUUCCGCUAGGAGAUUGGUCUAUAUCCUAUUAGCUAGUUGGUAAGGUAACGGCUUACCAAGGCGAUGAUGGGUACGGGGCGUGAGAGCGUGACCCCGAUCACUGGGACUGAGACACUGCCCAGACGCCUACGGGCGGCUGCAGUCGAGAAUCUUCGGCAAUGGACGAAAGUCUGACCGAGCGACGCCGCGUGUAUGAUGAAGGUCUUCGGAUUGUAAAGUACUGUCGAUAGGGCGGAAAUUUACGGUGGCCAUCCAUCGUAUUUGACCUAUCUUUUGAGGAAGGACGGGCUAAGUUCGUGCCAGCAGCCGCGGUAAGACGAACUGUUCUAACGUUAUUCGGAAUCACUGGGCUUAAAGGGCGCGUAGGCGGUUUUUUAAGCGGGGUCUGAAAUCCCUCGGCUCAACCGAGGAACUGGGCUUCGAACUGGAGAACUAGAGUGAAGUAGGGGUAAGCGGAACUUGCGGUGGAGCGGUGAAAUGCUUUGAUAUCGCAAGGAACACCGGUGGCGAAGGCGGCUUACUGGGCUUCAACUGACGCUCAAGCGCGAAAGCUAGGGUAGCGAACGGGAUUAGAUACCCCGGUAGUCCUGGCCGUAAACGCUGAGCGCUUGUUCGAGGGAGAGCCUUUCUUUCUCGAGCGUAGCGAAAGUCUUAAGCGCUCCGCCU